GAUGAACGCUAGCGGGAGGCUUAAUACAUGCAAGUCGAGGGGUAACAGGGAACUUCGGUUCCGCUGACGACCGGCGAACGGGUGAGUAACGCGUACACAACCUACCUCUAACAGGGGGAUAGCCCCGGGAAACUGGGAUUAAUACCCCAUAAUAUUGACCUGUUGCAUGAUGUGUCAAUUAAAGCUCUGGCGGUUAGAGAUGGGUGUGCGUCCCAUUAGCUAGUUGGUGAGGUAACGGCUCACCAAGGCAACGAUGGGUAGGGGGCGUGAGAGCGUGGUCCCCACACGGGUACUGAGACACGGACCCGACUCCUACGGGAGGCAGCAGUAAGGAAUAUUGGACAAUGGGCGAAAGCCUGAUCCAGCCAUCCCGCGUGCAGGAAGAAUGCCCUAUGGGUUGUAAACUGCUUUUAUCAGGGAAGAAACCCUCGCAUUCAUGCGAGGCUGACGGUACCUGAAGAAUAAGCACCGGCUAACUCCGUG
rnacentral:rRNA from 1 species